rnacentral:lncRNA from 1 species
UAGCAGAGAAUAUGGCGAUUCGGCAACAGAGACUGGAGGAGAAAACGAAGAAGAGCAAAGUGUGACUGUUGAUGAUCAAUUCAUGGAACCUAGCUUUCGCGUAGUCCGUGAGAUCAAGCAUGGAGAGGAGAGAAUAAUUGAAGAGAUCGAACAUUUCAGUCAUCAACAUAACCUAAUCCUUAAUGACAAGGUUGAUGAUGAUCUAAAGUGUGAUGGGUGCAUGCUACCAAUCUCAACUCCAUUUUAUAGUUGUGCCAGGUGUAAUUUCUUUCUUGACAAAACCUGCAUAGAAUUACCCAAGAAAAAAAAGUGGCAAUAUCACGAAAACCAACUGAUUCUUUCAUGGAGCCGAAGGGAACAUUUUCUGUACAACUGUGUUGUGUGUAAUCAAUAUUUUCGUGGGCUCAGGUACACAUGUGAUGUAUGUCGUCUCUGCAUUGAUGUCCGAUGCUUCAAAUCAUUGAAAGAUUCUUUUAAACAUGGAGGUCAUGAGCAUCCCCUUUAUCUUCCAGCGGACAGAAAGAAAAUUCUCCGUUGCACUAUUGGAGGUCGCGGGGUUCCCCCUUGGGUUGCAGAUGACGGAGAGAUUAUUCCCCAUUGCAGUGGCUGUUGUGUCAGUGAAGAAUCAAAGGUAUUUUUUAAAUGUGCGGUUUGCGAUUUCAAGCUGGGUAUGAAAUGUGCUACACUGCCAUACAAAGCAAGACACGAGUAUGAUGACCAUCCUCUCUUCCUCACCUAUAUUAAUGAAAAUGACUACCAACCUUCCUGUAUAAUUUGUGAAGAAGAUAGAGACCCAAAGCUCUGGUUCUACCGUUGUGAGGAAUGCGACUUCGAUGCUCAUCCAGAAUGUGCUCUCGGGAAAUACCCAUUUUUCAAGCCAGGGGGUGUUCUAACAUAUCCUAAACACCCUCACCCUCUUGCUUUGGUCAUCAAGACAGAGGAUUAUCGUCCGCAGGCAUGCGAUACUUGUGGUGAGCCUUGCGAUGACUUGGCCCUUGAAUGUACUGAUCCUAACUGCAGUUUUAUCGUCCACAGGAAAAGAAGGCAAUGCUCUAACUCAUUAUGGUAAUUGGAUGGCAGUUGUUGGCUUUUUUCUUAUUUUUGGGUUAUGAUUGUUGGCAGUUGCCAGACAGAGGAUUAUUAUCUCUGUUUCUAUUUUCGCGUAUGAGAUCACUUUUUUGUUUCUCUGUUUUGUUCUGAACAAUAAAAGAUGCUAUUUUAUUAAAACUGUCCUUGAAGGUAGUUUGUUGUUUCUUUGAGCCUUAGUAAGUGACAAAGAUGUCCAUAAAUUCUGCUUUUACAUUUUUGUUAUAGAUUUUAUUGUAAAUGCAUAAAAAUAUUGGCAUAUAAAAGAACACUUAUCUAACUGAUAUCAAUUAUUUUCAUUCAAAUAUUUAAUUUUUAUUUCCUUAACAUAAUCUAAUAUUAAAUAAAUAUAUAUUAAAUAAUAUUUAAAACGAACACCUCCGGGGCAUUCGAUAGCCUUUUCCUUUAAGAUAUAUAAUGAAAACGUUUAGAAACUGAUUGAUUUUUAAUUUAGACAAAAAGCUCUUUCUAGCUCAAACCCAAUUUAAUUAUUUUUCAGGCUAAUUAAUGGAUAGUCCAGAAAAAAUAAUUAAUGCUUUUUGAAACUUCUACUGCAUUUUUUUUUAGCGGCAAAAACAAAUUAUUGAGUAAAAUCACUAUAUUAAAAUCAUAAUAUAAUUUGUUGUUUCUUUGUGCCUUCGUAGUGACAGAGAUGUCUGACCAUUUUUCUUAGCUUAGCAGGAAGCUCUCCAUAAAUUCUGCUUUUACAUUUUUGAUAUAGAUUUUAUUGUAAAUGCAUAGAAAUACUGUCAUAUCAAUUAUUUUCAUUCAAAUAUAAAAUAACACUUAUCUAACUGAUAUCAAUUAUUUUCAUUCAAAUAUUUAAUUUUUAUUUCCUUAAACACAAUCUAAUAAUAAAUAAAUGUAUUUAAAUAAUAUUUAAAACGCAUACCUCAAAGGCAUUCGAUAGCUUUGUCCUUUAAUAAGAUAUAUCAUGAAAAAGUAAGUUAAUUCAUGUUUUUGGUAUUUUUUCUUUUAAGAAGAAUAAGAACAAGUAUCGAUCUUCUUUAUCUAAUUUCUAAACCACGAAAGAAUAAGAACAAGCCAUUUCGAUCGAUCAUUUGGUUUUCCAUUUGCUAAGACAUGAUAAUCCCCCGGGGAGGAGAUAAUUAUGCUGGAAUUGACUUUGAUGUUACAACAAAAAGCUUGGCCAACAUUUCAAGUAUUAAAAUAAAAAUAUAAAAAAUCACCUGAGUCAACUCGAGUUAACCUAUUAAGUUAUUUAUAAAUCAUGAAUCGUGAUAACCUAAUAAAAAAAACUGAAAAAAAUCAUGAUGUCCAACUCAAUAUUAAAAAAUUAAAUUGAAGAAAAAAAUCAGUUAAGAAAAUAAAAUUAAAAAAAAACUUGAAUCAAUAGGGUUAACCACCCAAACUUAUGAUUUGAAUUAUAAGGCUCGGACAACAUAAUAAAAAAUAAAUUCAAUGUCAAAAAUGAAAUUGCAAAAAAAAAAUAGAGAAGCAUUUAUUAAAAAAAUAAAAUGAAAAAAAGAAAGAAAAAAAAAGCACUAUGAAAAAAGAAAAAAAAAGGCACUAAAGUGCUUUGUUUAGAUGCCACAGGUACUUUGCCUUAAUUUUUUCGGAGUUGAUCAAUGGAUUAACCAAGAAAUAGAUUUUACUUCUAACAUUCUCUGAAGAAAAUCUUUGUUUAACUUUCUUAAUACAUUUUACUGUAAGAAACAAGGAGAAAGGAAAAAGAAAAAGGACAAACGAGAAAUUACUUGGUUGAGAUAACCAAGAAAUAGGUUUAUCAACGGAAGGACCUAAUUUUCUGUUCCAGAUAAACUUGAUGAAUCCGCUGUUUCGUAUUUUAAUUAGUGCUUGUUUGAAAGUGUAGUUGCAGUUUUUUUUAAAAGUGUUUUUUAUGCUGAAAUAUAUGAAAAUAAUAUUUUUUUUAUUUUUUAAAAAUUAUUUUUGAGAUCAGUGCAUUAAAACGAUCCAAAACAUACAAAAAAAUUAAUUUUUAAUAAAAAAAUUUGAAUUUUGGUAUAACAUGGUUUAUACCGCGUUCAUCCAAACCACGUAUAAAAUAACAUCAUGUAUAAAACAUUAAUUCAAAAUAAAAAAAAUAUUGUUUUAAAAACAUUUUUAAAACAACAAACAAAUUAUAAGUUCUGAGUUUGAAUUAAAAAUACUUCUAUUUGAUAUGGUCAUUUCAAAAUAUUUUUUUUUUAUUUUUACAAAAAAAUCAAUUUUGUUGUUAGAGAAAAACAAAAAUCAAGGGGUCAAAAUUAAAAGUUUGGUGAAGUAGUAGCCUUUUUAAGAAAACAUAAGUGUCACAGCCUUUUAAACUUAAAAUUUGGUCAAAUAUUAGUUUUGAUCCCUUCGGCUUGGAAAUUAUACUAUUUGGUUCAAAAUUUUAUUUUAUUUACAUUUAAGUCAAUAAAUUUAAAAGAAAAGGGUAAAAGUUGCUAGAUUACAACGAAUGAGAGAGAAUUAUUAUUAAUCACAUUCUAACAAUCAAAAAAAAUCAUUCUUGAUAUUAAUGAAUUCUAUUUCAAAAAAAGAAUUUCAUUAAUGUAUUUUUUGCCCAAUGAACUUUUUUUAAACCCAAACAAAUAUUGAGUUUUUAUUAAGUUAUUCAAUAAGAGUUGGUACAUAUAACAUUAUGUGCAAUUUGCUUAAAUAUUUUAGUUAAUUCAAAUGAAAUAUCAUAAUAUUAGUUAAUUAUGUAAUUGUUCACAUUUCAAGGUUAUUAAGAGUUAAACCGUUUGAUUUUAAAAAUUAAAAAAAAAGUGUUUUAAAAUUAAGUGUUUCCUUUUUUUUCUCCUUAAUGUUUUUUGGUUACUUAAUUUUUUUUUUCAAUUUGAUCUUUACAUAUUUAUUAAAUUUAGAAUUAAGCUUCAUGAUAUAUUUCAUGCUCUUUUCUUUCGAGUUUUCAUGGUCUUUUAAAACAUCAUGGCAUUGAGUUUGUUUUUAAUUUUACAAAGAAGAAUUCAAUUUGAUUGUUUACAAAGAAUUAAAAAUGAGAGGAUAAAAAUUGAAAAUUAGGUGAAAUGGUAGCUCUUUAGAUGAUAUUUUCACUUCUCAGUGCUUAAUUUCUUGUUUUUUUUAGUUCGGUCAUCGAGCUUUGUUUUUUUUCAAAUUUACCCUUUCACAUUGCAUUGAUUGAUGAUUUGGUUCGUAUUGCUUCUUUCAGUUUAUCAUAAUCUCCAAAAAACUACCACCACAUUAGGUUGGUUCUCUAUUUUACAAAAAACAAAAAAUCAAUUUUUUUGUUAGAGAAAAACAAAAAUUGAGGGGAUCAAAAUUAAAAGCUUGGUGAAAUGAUAACCUUUUUAAAAAACAAUGGGUGUUAAAGUCUUUUAGACUUAAAAUUUAGUUCAAUAUUAGUUUUGGUCCCUUCAGCUUGAAAUUAUACUAUUUGGUUCAAGAUUUUAUUUUAUUUACAUUCCAAUUCUUAAAUCUAAAAGAAGACAAUAAAAGUUAUUGUUAACCAUAAUUUAGCAACCGAAACAAGUUGUUCUUGAAGUUAAUGGGUUCUAUUUCAAGAUAAGAAUUCCUCAUCAGAUUUCAAGAUAAUGGGUUGUUUAGAGUAGGUUUGUUUUCAUGUUUUAAAAAUAUUUUAAAAAAAAUUUAAUUUUUUUUGUUUUAUAUUAAUUUUUUUGUGUUUUUAAAUCAUUUUAACGUGCUAAUGUCAAAAAAAAAAAUUAAAAAAAAAAUAUUAUUUCGAUAAAUUAUUUAAGUGAAAAACACUUUGAAAAACAAUUCCCACCACAAUACAAAAAAAAACUCUUAUUAGUUGAAACUAAAUUAUUGGUAGCGCUAAAUUUUAUCUAAAUUUCUUUUAACAUAAAAAAAAUAUUCAGAUGUUGUUAAUGAUUUUUUUCUAAUGAAAAAAAAAUUAAUGCAAGAGUUGAUUUGAUGUGACUUGGUAUAUUUGACAGGUCUAAAAACAAUCCAAAUGACCAGUAAAAACAUAAUUUAACUAAAAAAUUAAUAUAAUAUUUUUUUUAAUAUUAAAAAGAGAAGUUAUUGAAUCGACUUGAAUCAAUGUAGGUUAACAUAUCAAAUUCAUUACCUGAGUUAUGAGAGCAGUAGGAAGUUUGAAUAAGAAGUGCACCUAUUUGAUAGGUCACCUCAUUUGAUGAACAGUGGUCAUUUCAAUCACAAGUUUUGCCUACUCCUCGAGGCACGAACACAUAACCUCCAAAAACAAAUCACUAAUUAAUGUGUGAUACAUAAACAAAGAAAAAUAAAUUACUUGAUUUGCUGCUGUAAAGAUAUUAAACUUACAUACACCCAUAUUAUUUUAUAUUAAAUAAAUAAAAUUAAUAAAAUUUAAACUUUUGAUUAUUCAAGACUCUAGUAUUAUAUAAAAAAUUAUUUUAAUUCAGUAACUUAAAUUAUUAAUUAAAGAGGAAAUGAGAAAUUGGUCCGUGCCCACCAUUCCAGAAUACAAUAGACAUCCAGCUCACAUGAUUACUUUUACAUGGAUAAUCAGUCAAGACAUGACCCUGGGGCUCUCAUGAUUUCACGUGAACAACAACAUUUUCUCAUUGGCAAAGGUUUUCACAAUGAUGCUGACUUGAAGACGUGACAAAUGCCUUUUUUUUUUUUUUUUUAUCUGAGAUUUUAAAAUAUAAUUUAUAUUAUUUUUUAAUAAAUAUAAUUUAAGGUAUAAUUAUCAAACCUAUUCUAGCCGGUAAGUCGACUUAAAGUCUAGCCACCCAGGCUUGAUUUCUUUUUGAACCAAUAAAUCAACCUUUAACCUGGUUACUGUAUCAAACUUGAGUGAGAUUUAAUCAGGUUAUUUCCAAGGAAUUUUACAAAAAAUUAUCUCGAUGUUUUGUUUUCAAAAAACCACUAAAAUGAUAUCGUUUUGAAACUAACCACUCUGUUACUGGGGACUUUAUUCGGGUAUGAUAAAGUUCAACAAGAUUUCCUGCUUUAUAUAGUUAUUUGAGACUCUUUUGUGUGAGAAUCCAUGGAGUUUUCAUCUGUUCUUUACAUUUGUUUUGUAUCUGUUUCAUUAUCAGUAUCAUCAAAUAAUUUGUUGAGUCUGACAGAUAGAAAUUAUCCCAGUUCAUUCACAGGAUGAAGACUGGCGAAGAAUCAAGCGAGAAAAAUGAUAAGGGAGAUCAAGUUUGCGGGUUAGCAGCAAAUGUGAAAAAGAAUUUGGAAACCUUAGGUCCAAAUCCUUUAUCGGAAGAGUGUUGUAUCUAUAAAGUUCCAAAGCGACUGCAAGUGUUAAACGACAAGGCCUACACACCUCAAGUAGUCUCCAUUGGUCCAUUUUUAUGUAAUACUAUUUAACUUACUUGAUUUGCUGCUGUAAAGAUAUUAACUUAUCAGUAACCCUUCUUUUUUGUUCUAAGUUCUGUAUAUAUCACAUUUCUUGAUUUGUAGAGAACAAAAACAUAAUUAACCUCGACUUCAUUAAUAAUUAUAUAUCUAAUACAUUUUAUAAAUAACUACAAAAUUAUACAAAAAAAACUAGAAGUCAUAUGUUAAUCACUAUAUGGCUUGUGAGAGGAUUUGUUUUGGAUUGCAAAGUGUUUCUUUCUAUUUUUCAUUAAAUUUUUUUCAGUUACUUAUUUUUUUUCAAUUUAACUUUUACACAUUUAAUUAAUUUAAGUAAAAAACACUUUAAAAAACAAUUAAAAAAAAUUAUUCUUGAUGUUAAUAAGUACCAUUUCAAGAUAAAAAUUUUAUUACUGUAUGUUUUGCUCCUCAUCUUACUAGAAAAAGUAAAUUCUUUAGGGAUUUUUUUUUGAACCGGAACAAAUUUUGAAUUAUUUAAUCAAUUAAACAUUGUUUAGAGGUUAUGUUUACGAGGUGUUUAUAAGUGUUUUUAAGUGAAAGAAAUGAUUGAAAUGUUGUUUUGUGUUCAAAGAGAGGGGAGCAAUUUUCUAGUGACUUCCAGCCUCUAGAGUUUCUCGACGAUGAAACAAAUAGGUGGCGUGUUUUUAAUUUGUCACUACAAAAAACAUAUUGGAUUAAUUAGAAAAAAAAAAAAAUGUGUUGAUUGACGUGCUAGGCCUCCUGGAUCAGUGCUUAACCAUUUUUUGCCCUUUUAAGUCUAUUUAAUGUAGAAUUAGAUAACUAAAUAUAUAUAUAUAUAUAUAUAUAUAUAUAUAUAUAUAUAUAUAUUUAUUAAUUUAUUAAAUUAAUACAAAAUAUAUUAAAGGUGUUUUUUUUAAUUAACAUUAAAAUUUUAGUUUUAGUUUGAAUAAUGUUAUAGUUGUCUUUUUAAAAUUUUGACAACCAUUAUUUUUUAACAAACAAUUAUUAUUUUUAGUUUCUCCAACAUUUUUUUUUCGAAAUGCAUUCAAUGAUUACCUUAUGAUUUAUAAUACUAUAAAUUUGACUUGACAUGUUUUAAACAAUAAAUAGUUAAAUUUUUAUUUUUAUUAUAUAUAAUUGAUGCCAUUUUUAUUUUAAUUUAAUAAUUUGUGGGUAAUAAACAUGAAAAAUAUGAUAUGAAAUAACAUGAGAGGAUCAAUAUGAAUAUUUGAAUUAAGAUCCUAACUCCACUCAAGAUAGCUCCUCUAAGACUAAUAGUUUCUAAUACUAUUCUUCAUUUUCAUCUUUUGUUUUGUAUUCAUUGUUAAAUUAUUAUAUGGACAUGAUCCAUUUUCAUCUGAAUUUAAUGAACAUGAUGAAAUGUGAUAUAUAAGAGAAUGUGUUUUCAUUUUUUUUUUAUAUCUCUAAUUAUAUAAUUUAAUUCCAAGAUAAAUGAUCUUCUCUAACAUGUCCUGUCUAUGUUUUCCAUUCAAAUUAACAGAAAAGCCACACGACCUUCACAAAUGUAUUUUGAUAUAUAAAAAUAUCACUUACUCUAUAUAUAUAUGAUAAGUAGCUCAUUAUUUCUUAUAUCUCAAAGAUUGUUUCUAAUAAGUCUUUAUAAGUGUAAUUAUAUCAGUUAUAUCUUUAAUUUUUAGUUAAGUUAUUCAAUAAGAGGCUGUGCAAUUAUAUCAGUUAAAAAAAUAAGUGUAUUUUUAGAAAGUUACUUCUCAUUUCUUAUUUUCUUGAAAUAAAUUAGAUAAAAAUAAUUAAAAUAAAAGAGAUAAGAUAAAAUAUAAGACAAAGAAAAAGUUGUAUUUAAUAAUAAUAUAUAAGUUAGAGUAAUUGUCUUUAUACAAAUAAUAUAUGAAACCAUCCAAACUUAUUUGAAACAAUAAAUAAUUAAGUUAUUAUAUGAAUAUUAAUUGAUUUUAAAUAAUUAAGUUAUUUGAAACAAUAAUCAAUUAAAGGACAUGGGAGGAUGAGUAUGAAUUGAAUCCUAAUUAACUCCACUCUAAAACCAAUAGUUUCUAAUACUAUUUUUCAUUUCAAUCCUUUACCUUGUAUUUAUUGAUAAAUUAUUACAUGGACAUGAUCCAUUAACUAAGCAAUGGACCAAUCCAAUAGAAUAAAGACAUUUGUUUGCAUAAUUAAAACAACAAUAAUUCUAAGAACCUAUAAUUAAUCUGGAAAGAAAAUAGAAAGGAAACUCAUGAUCUUCCUCUACCUCUCUCUUUUCAUUAUAAAACCUAGAAAUCCAAAGGCAAUACUUUAUGUAAGGGAUGAUAAAGGAUGCUUAUGAGUCGGCUUUUCAAAAUGAAAUGGUAAUUUCUUCUACGAUUUUGCUUUAGAUAUAUUGAUUUACGAUUUUGAUAAUUAAAGUAUUUUACCAUACAAUUUUAAUGUUUAGAGGUGCUCUGAUGCACAAUAAUUAGAGUUAGUUUAUUUUUAUAUUUCGAACAGGCAAACGAGUAAUAUAGGAAGUUGAGGAAACCCAUCAAAAGUCAACGAGCCUUCUUCUCCAACAAGAAAAGACAGGGGAAAGUGUCUUCUUAUGCACAUACUUGAACAAUCUCACCCUCACAAAUAGAGGAGCCUGUAGCUUUCCUCGUGAUCUUCUACCCGCCUCUUCCUUACAGGUAACGCCCUUUCUUCCUUUUCGGGCUUCUUUGAAUUUUGGGCCCUUUGAGUUAUUUUUCGUUUCGGCUCUGUCCCAUAAUCUUUGAUAAAGGGGAAGAGGGAAGAGGUCAAAUUUCAGUUCAGAAGGUGAGGUAUUGAAUAAUGAAUACUAGCAGCACUCAACUUUUAUUUGCCUUUCCAUUUCGAUAACAUAUAUAUUCGGCAGCUUCAAUUUGGCCUGCCUAAGUCUUGUCUUGGCUCAACACCCCUCAUUUCCUGCUCUGUCCUCUAAGAGAGCCAGAGACAUGGAGAUUGAACAUUUUAGCCACCCAGAUCAUCCAUUGAUCCUCAUUAAUCAAGUUCUCGAAUAUAGUUGCGAACUAGUUAUUUGCUCUGGAUGCGAGGGACCGAUAUGGGGUCCUGGCUACAGUUGCACCUCUUGCUACUUCUUUCUUCAUAAGAAAUGCGCCGAGCUGCCCCGUGAGAUCAUGCGGUGCAUUCAUCCUAGACACCCUCUCCAUCUACUGCCAAAGUCACCAUAUAAAGGAGAAUACGGUUGUGAUCGCUGCCAAAAAACUUGCAAGAGUUUUGUUUACCAUUGUUCUGUCUGUGAAUUUGAUCUUGAUAUCAAAUGUGCUUUUCAACCGGGUUUUUUUGAAGUUGAUAGUCAGGCACAUCAAUUUGCCCACAAGGAUCAUCCAUUGAUUUUGAAUGAAGAGCAAGAAUAUCAUGGUGAAGGAGUACAGUGUUGUGUGUGCAAGGAACCAAUGUCUGGUCCUAGCUAUAGUUGCACUUCUUGCAACUUCUUUCUUCACAAGAAGUGUGCUGAGCUACCCCCAGAGAUCAAGCAGCAUUUGCAUCCAGAACACCCUCUUCGUCUACUGCCAAAUCAUGAUAUGAUCUGUGAUUUUUGCAACGAAACUUGCUAUGAGAGUUUUCUUUACUUUUGUAUUGUGUGUGAAUACAACCUCCAUAUCAAAUGUGCUUUUCCACCGUGCAUUGAUGCAGCUGAUCAGAAUCAAAGGCAUCAAUUUAGACGCCUAAUGAAUCCACUUUCAUUAAAAUCAAUCUCCUUCACUUGCAAUGCAUGUGGCACAGAUGGAGAUGACUCCCCAUUUUGGUGCACUAUGUGCCAACUCGUGGUCCACAAAAAAUGCAUUUCAUUGCCACGCACCCUUAAAACGGAACUGCACCAGCAUCCCCGAAUCAUCCACACCUAUCAUCCUCAAAAACGCAUCGAAUCUAUAAACAAGUACUGUGGAAUUUGCUGUCGGGAAGUUGACACAGAAUACGGAGUUUACUAUUGCCCGGACUGUGACUUUGUUGCACACGUGGAUUGUAGUGGAGAAUAUGGGGAUUCUGCAACAGAGAUUGUAGUAGAAAACGAAGAAGAGCAAAGUGUGACUGUUGAUGAUCAAUUCAAUGAACCUAGCUUUCGCGUUGUCCGUGAGAUCAAGCAUGGAGAGGAGAGAAUAAUUGAAGAGAUCGAACAUUUCAGUCAUCAACAUAACCUAAUCCUUACUGACAAGGUUGAUGAUGAUCUAAAGUGUGAUGGGUGCAUGUUACCAAUCUC